AGAACGAACGCUGGCGGCAUGCCUAAUACAUGCAAGUCGAACGAACACUUCGGUGUUAGUGGCGCACGGGUGCGUAACGCGUGGGAAUCUGCCCUUGGGUUCGGAAUAACAGUUGGAAACGACUGCUAAUACCGGAUGAUGACGAAAGUCCAAAGAUUUAUCGCCCAGGGAUGAGCCCGCGUAGGAUUAGCUAGUUGGUGAGGUAAAGGCUCACCAAGGCGACGAUCCUUAGCUGGUCUGAGAGGAUGAUCAGCCACACUGGGACUGAGACACGGCCCAGACUCCUACGGGAGCAGCAGUAGGGAAUAUUGGACAAUGGGGCGACGAAG
rnacentral:rRNA from 1 species